rnacentral:tRNA from 1 species
GGCCAGUUAGCUCAGUCGGUUAGAGCGUGGUGCUGAUAACACCAAGGCUGUGGGUUCGAUCCCCAUUCGGUCCC